rnacentral:lncRNA from 1 species
UCCUUCCGCCCCGUGAACAGGUUGUCCACCACGAUCACGCUGUCGCCGCGCUCCACCAGCCGGUCCACCAGGUGGCUCCCCACGAACCCGGCGCCGCCGGUCACCAGCACCCGGAGCCCCUUCCGCUUCAGCCCCAGCGGCACCUUCCCGCCCACGAACUGCCUCGCCGGCAGCUGCUGCUGCCGCCGGCUCACCGCCGGCUCCACCGAGAACCGCGCCAGCGGGUUCGCCGCGGUUGAACCGGCGGCCGCGGCGGCGGGGGUGGAGGAGGAGUACGGGGUGGCGAGGGAGAAGAUGGCAGCGGCGACGAGCAUCCCGGCGAGGGCGAAGAGCGGGCGGUGCUCGCCGGCGGCGUACCGGGCGGCGCGGGGGAGCCACGCGAGCGGCUUGGACGGCUUCGGGGAGUACCCCCCCGCCGCUACCGCCGCCUCCGCCUCGCCGGCCAGCGUCGCGCCGCCGCCGCCGCGGUAGGUCAGCUCCGACGCCAUCUUUUUUUCUUUUUCUUUUUCCCUCACGACGACGGCGAGGGACCUGGAUGUAAAAUUUCCACAAACCCCCCAAGGCCCUCCCC